UUGAACGCUGGCGGCAUGCUUUACACAUGCAAGUCGAACGGUAGCAGGCCUUCGGGUGCUGACGAGUGGCGAACGGGUGAGUAAUGCAUCGGAACGUGCCCAAUCGUGGGGGAUAACGUAGCGAAAGUUACGCUAAUACCGCAUACGCCCUGAGGGGGAAAGUGGGGGACCGCAAGGCCUCACGCGCAUGGAGCGGCCGAUGUCAGAUUAGCUAGUUGGUGGGGUAAAGGCCCACCAAGGCGACGAUCUGUAGCGGGUCUGAGAGGAUGAUCCGCCACACUGGGACUGAGACACGGCCCAGACUCCUACGGGAGGCAGCAGUGGGGAAUUUUGGACAAUGGGCGCAAGCCUGAUCCAGCCAUGCCGCGUGCGGGACGAAGGCCUUCGGGUUGUAAACCGCUUUCAGCCGGAAAGAAAGCGCUGUUUUUAAUACGGACAGUGGAUGACGGUACCGGAAGAAGAAGCACCGGCUAACUACGU
rnacentral:rRNA from 1 species